CAGGGAUUGCCCUAGUAACGGCGAGUGAAGCGGCAACAGCUCAAAUUUGAAAUCUGGCGCAAGCCCGAGUUGUAAUUUGUAGAGGAUGCUUCUGGGCAGCGGCCGGUCUAAGUUCCUUGGAACAGGACGUCAUAGAGGGUGAGAAUCCCGUAUGCGACCGGUUGGCACCCGUCACGUAGCUCCUUCGACGAGUCGAGUUGUUUGGGAAUGCAGCUCUAAAUGGGUGGUAAAUUCCAUCUAAAGCUAAAUACCGGCUAGAGACCGAUAGCGCACAAGUAGAGUGAUCGAAAGAUGAAAAGCACUUUGGAAAGAGAGUUAAAAAGCACGUGAAAUUGUUGAAAGGGAAGCGCAUGCAACCAGACUUGUCGGCGGUGUUCCGCCGGUCUUCUGACCGGUCUACUCGCCGCCGGCAGGCCAGCAUCGUGUGGGCGCGCCGGAUAAAGGCGCUGGGAAUGUGGCCCCUCGGGGUGUUAUAGCCCAGCGCACAAUACGGUGCCGCCCGCGCGAGGUCCGCGCUUCGGCUAGGAUGCUGGCGUAAUGGUUGUCUGCGGCCCGUCUUGAAACACGGACCAAGGAGUCUAACAUCUAUGCGAGUGUUCGGGUGUCAAACCCCUGCGCGGAAUGAAAGUGAACGGAGGUGGGAACCCUCACGGGUGCACCAUCGACCGAUCCUGAUGUCUUCGGAUGGAUUUGAGUAAGAGCAUAGCUGUUGGGACCCGAAAGAUGGUGAACUAUGCCUGAAUAGGGUGAAGCCAGAGGAAACUCUGGUGGAGGCUCGCAGCGGUUCUGACGUGCAAAUCGAUCGUCAAAUUUGGGUAUAGGGGCGAAAGACUAAU
rnacentral:rRNA from 1 species